rnacentral:rRNA from 1 species
UGGGGAAUUUUGGACAAUGGGCGAAAGCCUGAUCCAGCAAUGCCGCGUGUGUGAAGAAGGCCUUCGGGUUGUAAAGCACUUUUGUCCGGAAAGAAAUCCUUGGCUCUAAUACAGUCGGGGGAUGACGGUACCGGAAGAAUAAGCACCGGCUAACUACGUGCCAGCAGCCGCGGUAAUACGUAGGGUGCAAGCGUUAAUCGGAAUUACUGGGCGUAAAGCGUGCGCAGGCGGUUUGCUAAGACCGAUGUGAAAUCCCGGGCUCAACCUGGGAACUGCAUUGGUGACUGGCAGGCUAGAGUAUGGCAGAGGGGGGUAGAAUUCCACGUNUAGCAGUGAAAUGCGUAGAGAUGUGGAGGAAUACCGAUGGCGAAGGCAGCCCCCUGGGCAAUACUGACGCUCAUGCACGAAAGCGUGGGGAGCAAACAGGAUUAGAUACCCUGGUAGUCCACGCCCUAAACGAU